GUGUCAGCCGCCGCGGUAAUACGUAGGGGGCAAGCGUUGUCCGGAUUUAUUGGGCGUAAAGCGCGUGUAGGCGGCUUGGCAAGUCCGCUGUGAAAACUCGAGGCUCAACCUCGAGAUGUCGGUGGAAACUGCCUGGCUAGAGUCCGGAAGAGGAGUGUGGAAUUCCUGGUGUAGCGGUGAAAUGCGCAGAUAUCAGGAAGAACACCUAUGGCGAAGGCAGCACUCUGGGACGGUACUGACGCUGAGACGCGAAAGCGUGGGGAGCGAACAGGAUUAGAAACCCGAGUAGUCC
rnacentral:rRNA from 1 species